rnacentral:piRNA from 1 species
AACUUUCUGAAGACCUGACGC